GACGAACGCUGGCGGCGUGCUUAACACAUGCAAGUCGAACGAUGAAGCCGGAGCUUGCUCUGGUGAAUUAGUGGCGAACGGGUGAGUAACACGUGAGUAACCUGCCCUUGACUCUGGGAUAACUGCGGGAAACUGUAGCUAAUACCGGAUACGACCCUCGGAGGCAUCUCCUGGGGGUGGAAAGAAUUUCGGUCAAGGAUGGACUCGCGGCCUAUCAGCUAGUUGGUGAGGUAAAGGCUCACCAAGGCGACGACGGGUAGCCGGCCUGAGAGGGUGACCGGCCACACUGGGACUGAGACACGGCCCAGACUCCUACGGGAGGCAGCAGUGGGGAAUAUUGCACAAUGGGCGCAAGCCUGAUGCAGCAACGCCGCGUGAGUGAAGAAGGCCUUCGGGUUGUAAAGCUCUUUUGUCAGGGAAGAAACGGUAGAGGCUAAUAUCCUUUGCUAAUGACGGUACCUGAAGAAUAAGCACCGGCUAAC
rnacentral:rRNA from 1 species